GGCUUGGUGGUGUAGUUGGUUAUCACGUCAGUCUAACAUUCAAACGUUAGGUACACUGAAGGUCCGGAGUUCAAACCUCCGCUAAGUCA